rnacentral:rRNA from 1 species
AUGGAUAUAUCUCUUGCGGGCUUGCUCCGAACCACUUCAAGGUCAGAAAGUGCAAAUUCUUUUUUCAACCGUUUCAUUCAUCGUAGGCUUGCUUUUGUUGAGUUCUGGCUUAGGUUCGACACAGCUUUAGAAUGCCAACGUGAGGAAGAAUUAAUGGCAGACAAUAGAAGCAUGCAUACCACCCCACAACUAUUAACGCCAUGGACAAUGGAGAAACAAGGUAGUGAGGUAUUCACAUAUGAGGUAUUCGAGAAAUUUCAGCUACAAGUUAUUGCUGCUAGAGAUCAUUGUUGUGUUCAGGGUAUUGCACAAGGUGUGGGGUUAAAAAUGGUGACCCUGAGAGGUCGAUCUGAUAAGGUUAGGGAGGUCUCCUAUGACACUACAACCAUGAUAGCAAAUUGUCCGUGCAAGUUAUUUGAGUCAAUCGGUAUUCCAUGUCGACAUAUUAUCCAAGUGUUGAGGAUUGAGAACCAAAACGAGCUUCCCAACUACUACAUUAUGAAAAGAUGGCAGAAACGGUGCAAGAGGUAA